ACUGUACUGGUCUCAAAGCAACAACGAUCUUACACCAGUUGAGAGGAAAAUGUACGAGAGAACAUGUCUCAUCUUGUGUGUGCUUUUGUUUGUGGUCUCAGCCGUUCCUGUACAUCAGCAGGCUUUGAUAUCUGCCAAACGACGGAAAGAACGUUUCUCGUCGUACCGUCGCACAAGCGAUCGACGCGCCGGUAUCUCUACUGAUCCCGAGCAGAGCAUCACUUCCAGCUAAUGAACAAGAAUCAUCAAAGACUAUUUGGAGCCUUCUGACUGGAAUGUGGCACUGAUCCAAGGCAGUAACUGACAACAUAUUUCCCUUUAGCUUAUUCAAUGCGAAAAUGCGAACUGUUUUUACAAUUGUUUUGGAACUUUCACUUGAGAGUAUUAGACAUACAUGCGAGUUAUAAUAACAAUGUAUGUGAUAUAUGUAUGAUAUAUGUAUAUUCAUAAUGUUUACCAGAGGCUUACAUAUCAUAUAAUUAAAAAUGUAUUUUUGCCUUUCUCUUGAAUUAGAUAGAGACCUGAAUAAAAUUUACGGCUUUUUCCUAACUUCUCCUCAAAGUUCCAUUUUGUAUUAGAUUGAUCUCCAAUACACAGGGAAAAAUUAAACUACU